UAACCUCAAAAGAAAAAGGGGAAAUUAGGGUUAACAUGUGACGUUCCCUAUUCUCAGUCCUCACUCUCCUCUCACAGCGGCGCCGGAGAAAUUCUUCUCCGAGCGAUCGCUCUCCCUCGCCGUCUCGACCUCUCACGUCCCCGACCUACGUUCUACUCUCUUCUCUUGAACGGCGACGACGGAGAUCUUAUCCUCUCCGAUCGGUUCCUCUAUUCCGCCGUCGCAAAUCGACGUCACCUCCUCUCUCAAUCUCAUCUUAGAUCAAAAACUUCAUCUUUUAUUCUAACGAAAACGAAAACUAAUCUCCUCAUGCGCUAUUCGCUAAAUCAAACUGAAAAUGAUACCGAAUUGGAACGAGGAAUUCAGCAGAGCGUGAAGAUUACCUGAAAUAGAGAUUGAAAUGAGGGAACAGGAAGACGGAGAGGAGAAUCCGAGCGUCUGCGUAUGCGAAAUAAACGCAAUGCGUGAAGAAAUUUCUCAGGUGGUACGAAUCCGUUUUGCAGGGCUGGAGUUUGUUCUUCUUCACUUCUGUUUUGUAGGGUUAAUGUUGGCUGUAGGUGUACAGGCUGCUUAAUGACGUAUCGAUGUAUCGGCUCGCCGCAUGUUUGCUUCUGUUAUAGCAAAAGGUGAAGGAGGAUAUGAAGAGCAUGGCUGUAACGAAGUAGUAUGUCGUGAAUCUUCAAUGGUAUACGGCAAUGAGGAGAGACUUAGGUGUUAGGCUCUGCGUAUAACCUUAGAUGUAAACUCCUUAGUGCAAUGUAAUAAUGAUAUUUGCAGUAAACUCUGUAUUUUAUUUGUAAUGCACUCUUGGAUUUUGUAAUGGAUAAAGCUUGAAUUAAAUAGUGUAUGAAAUUGUAAUGGAGCUUGCAAAUGGUCUUUUUUGUUGAAUUGAAGAUAACUUGUAAUAAUUUGUAAUGGAAUUAGGGAUGAGACUGUGUGGAAAUGGAUGAUGGCUUUUUGUAGUGUU